rnacentral:rRNA from 1 species
UACGGAGGGGGCUAGCGUUGUUCGGAAUUACUGGGCGUAAAGCGCGCGUAGGCGGACCUGCAAGUCGGGGGUGAAAGCCCGAGGCUCAACCUCGGAACUGCCUUCGAUACUGCGGGUCUCGAGUCCGGAAGAGGUGAGUGGAAUUCCUAGUGUAGAGGUGAAAUUCGUAGAUAUUAGGAAGAACACCAGUGGCGAAGGCGGCUCACUGGCCCGGUACUGACGCUGAGGCGCGAAAGCGUGGGGAGCAAACAGG